AUAAGUGAGAUGAGGACAGCAGGGCUGAGACCAUCUGUACUGGUUUCAUCAGGGUCCCAGCCUGAAAAGAAAGUGGUCAUUAAAGAGGUGUUUUCUGCUGAGGUCUUCUCACUUAUUCACAAAUGUUACACCUCUCUCCAGCUCUCACUCCUGCAGUCCACACAGGAAUUUUAGUGUUUCUGCUGGCACUACUGAUUGUUUAAAAAAAAAAGGAACAAAAAGAUAAACCAACCAAAGGGGAAGAGAACAGAGGAAGGCUGUUCAUUGGCUGAGCACACUGAAGAGGUAGCCCAUGAGAACCAAAAGACAUGAAAGGAAAUGUAUUCUGUGCUGGGUAUGUUUGAGAAGUGGUAAAUGUUUAACACACGAUAAGCCUUAUUAAUCAAAAAUACAAUAGAAAUAUUCCCACAGGAGAAGUAAGAUAAGAUGUGUUAAAGAACAUUUGUUAAGCACUGCAGGGACAGCAGGCAGCUAAUGAAAGCCAGCGACUAUGUGGGUGUGUGAUUAGAAAGCCGUACACAAUUAACAGUAAACUGCAAUCAUCUCAGAAAAAAGUCUGCAUUGCAGUGUACACAAGAGAACAGUUGCAUAUGGGCAAUAACUGGCACUGUACCACAAACUUAAUCCACUUCUUAAGAUAAGCAGUUAUCCACCACUACUUAUGUAGUAGGGAAUGUAAAAUGCCUUGUGACAGUUGAUGAUACAUAUGUUUAUUCUACACACCUGUAUAAUGUCUUUACUAUCAAGCUUGUUGUGACAGAUACCUACUGACUGUAAGACCUGAAUCACUAAUUGUUUCUACUUAAAUGCAUCACUGCUGAAGUAAAAGUACUUGAACUUCUGUGCACUUUCCUCAAUUUAAGAUUA